rnacentral:rRNA from 1 species
UAAGGAAUAUUGGACAAUGGGGGCAACCCUGAUCCAGCCAUGCCGCGUGAAGGAUGAAGGCCCUCUGGGUUGUAAACUUCUUUUGUACGGGAAUAAACCCUUGGUCGUGACCGAGGUUGAAUGUACCGUAAGAAUAAGGAUCGGCUAACUUCGUGCCAGCAGCCGCGGUAAUACGAAGGAUCCAAGCGUUAUCCGGAUUUAUUGGGUUUAAAGGGUGCGUAGGCGGGCUAUUAAGUCAGUGGUGAAAGCCCCGAGCUUAACUCGGGAACUGCCAUUGAUACUGAUGGUCUUGAGUACACUUGAGGUGGGCGGAAUGUGUCAUGUAGCGGUGAAAUGCUUAGAUAUGACACAGAACACCGAUUGCGAAGGCAGCUCACUAAAUUGUAACUGACGCUGAGGCACGAAAGCGUGGGGAUCAAACAGGAUUAGAUACCCCGGUAGUCC